rnacentral:misc_RNA from 1 species
AAUGUUUGCUUCUCUCUCUAGAAUCUGCAGGUUGAGAUCUGCAAUCAGAUGCUUCAAAUAUCUUUGAUUCCAGAUUUGGUGAUUUCAACUGGGUUGGCAAUAGAUUUUAGUGGGGUUUCCUCGUGAAAUUGGAAUUCUUAAUUUGGUUAGAGACCUGGGAUUGAGCAAGUUUGAUUCUUCUCUUUCGUGGUUGGUUCUUCUUUUUCGAGUCCAAGGAAUGUCGCUGUUGCUAAAAGGAGAUUCUAUCCAGAUUCGUGAGGUGUGGAGUGUGGAAUAACAAUCUUGAAGAAGAAUUUGCUCUUCUCCGUGAAAUUGUUGAUGAUUAUCCAUACAUAGCUAUGGACACAGAAUUCCCGGGCAUUGUGUUGCGCUCUGUGGGCAAUUUUAAGAAUAGCAAUGACUAUCAUUAUCAAACCUUGAAGGAUAAUGU